GUCCACGCAGUAAACGAUGAUAGCUCGUUGUCGGCGAUACACAGUCGGUGACUUAGAGAAAUCGAUAAGCUAUCCACCUGGGGAGUACGUUCGCAAGAAUGAAACUCAAAGGGAAUUGACGGGGGCCCGCACAAGCGGAGGAACAUGUGGUUUAAUUCGAUGAUACGCGAGGAACCUUACCCGGGGCUUGAAAGUUAGUGACGGAUCUGGGAAACAGGGUCUUCCCUUCGGGGCACGAAACUAGGUGCUGCAUGGUUGUCGU
rnacentral:rRNA from 1 species